AAAGAAUAUUUGUAACUCAGACUAAGAAGGUAUAUCCUUUUCAUAGUCUACCUUUAAUCAGUAAUUGAAAUAAAAUCUGAUUCUGAAUUUUAAAUGUUUCACUAAUGUCUAAUAGCAAUACUAAACCCUAGGGGGUUAAAAUGAUUUAAAUGGCAGUAGCAUACAUCAACAUAUGCAAAUAAAAAAUAAGAUUUUCACCUCACCUCCAAACAUUAAAUAGGAUCAAUUUAAGGUGUGAACAUAAUUUUGAAACAAUUUGAUUUUCAAGAAGUAAUUUUUAUUACUAGGAAAUGAAUUUCAAGAGAAGUCUUCCCACUUUUUAAAUAUCCGACAAUAGCUACGUGACAUCUUACAGAAUAUGACAGUAAAAGCCAACCAGGACCAAAGAAAAUGUGGUUCAUCAAUUUACAUAUAAUCACAUUUAGAUUUUAAAGUGCUGCAAAGUGUUCCAUUCUAGUUAGGCCUGGCACAUGAUUAAGAAUCAAUAACUGAAAGACUUUGACGAAAGACUUUAGAAGCAGAAAGAUCAAGAUCCAUUUUUCCUUUCCCCAAACUCCAGCCCACAGGGGCCCUGGCUCCCUCAGCUCUUUAGUAGACCACGCUUGGGCGACUACUCAUACUCUAACUCCUGCUGUCUGUAACAUUCGAUGAAUUACAACGACCAAUGAUGUGUUUACUUUAACUCUAAUUUCUCAGAGUAACAAUAUCAAAUAUAUUAAAUGUACUCCUUUAGCACAAACAUUCAGAAAGGGUAUGGGACAGAGAGGCAAAACAGUUCCGUGACGAAUAAUAAGAGGAAAAGUUCAUAAGAAUGCAAGAGGGGAAAUAUUAUUAUGCAUUAAUUAGUUUAUUUAAGAAGUAAGUUAUUCUAACAUGCAUUUAAGAAACACUGAAAAGUAUACUGUAUUUUAUGUUGACCUAAAUCCAAAUCACUUUGAAAAUGGAUUACAGUUAAUAAAAAAUUAAAAUAAAAUUACUUAUCUCCCAGCAAUGAGAAAUCACUUAAUUGCUUAACCAUGUAAUGGUCUCUGGGGUUAUUUUAUUUCAGUCUUACCCUCCUUAGGUUUAUUUUCUUUUCCACCAUAUUCCAGACUUUUUUUUCGCAACAUUGUUAUUAAUAUCAUUGGCCCUUGUUGCAGAAAGCAGAAGUUUUAAUGUAUUUUAAUUUUGAUUAUUUCAUGCUGUGUAUUCUGCUGCUUUGUUGAUAUUUACUUACAUUUUUAAAUCAUCAACAUAUUUUGUAAGCAAUGCUUGGGGAACACAUUUUUCUCAAUUAGUUAACAUGUUAAAAUAAUGUCAUUUUCUUUAAAGAUAGGUGGCAAUGAUCAAAAGGAAGAACCGCAGUUUCUUUAAACCCUUAACUGUAACGGCUAGUGGAGGUUCCAGCCCGCUACGUCUUCCUGUGUGCACAGCUAUUUAUAAACGGAGGAGUCAGAUGGUCUAUGCUUCUCCCCUAGGAGGGGAUUAAUAAAAUGGGUUUACUUCGAUCCCCGAAUUUCUAAGAUGGGAGGCUG
rnacentral:lncRNA from 1 species